rnacentral:rRNA from 1 species
UACGUAGGGGGCGAGCGUUGCCCGGAUUCAUUGGGCGUAAAGAGCUCGUAGGCGGUUUGUCACGUCUGCUGUGAAAACUGGAGGCUCAACCUCCAGCCUGCAGUGGGUACGGGCAGACUAGAGUGCGGUAGGGGAGAUUGGAAUUCCUGGUGUAGCGGUGGAAUGCGCAGAUAUCAGGAGGAACACCGAUGGCGAAGGCAGAUCUCUGGACGGCUAACUGACGCUGAGGCGCGAAGGCCAGGGGAGCAAACGGG